UAAGCUGAAAACAAGAAAUGUUAAACCCGAGCAGUGCCUGGAUUCGAAACAAGAGACCACCCAUCCUAAAACUUCCAAUUUCUUCUUCAGCUAUUAGAUUUUUUUUCCUUUCCCCUUGGUCCCAGUACUUGUGGAAGAUUCUACUGACAUUGGCAGUACUGUACCAUCCUUAAUUUCAUUUGAUAAUGAUAAUUGCUGUAACGUCUUCUCUGCUUCAAGAUAAGCCAUCAGAUCCCGAAGCUGCAAGUAGACAAAAAAUAAACCAUUGAAUGAUCAUGGGCCUACUAAAUGUCCAUGUUCGUAUAUGAAUAGAUUAGUAUAGCAAGAUCUAAAAGUUCUCACCUGCGCUUCUGAGUCCUGAAUUUUAUCAUCCUUCGCUCUCAAAGCCAUUUUCUCCCUGAAUAAGUUCAAACUAAAGGCCGUGAAAUAGUGUAUACAGCAAUCUAUCGAGUUUUCUACAAACUAGCAAUAAUCUAAAAUUGUUAUGAGUUGAAUAUGAUAAGAAUUAAGAGAUGGGAUUAAGUAUGAUUAAAGAAAGAUUUAAGUCCUUUGGAAAAGAAGUCAUGUAAGGCAAUUGAAGAGACCAUUAAUCCCAGGUCUCAUAUAUCGCGUUUCUUGGUACUAAAUGAAACACAAACUAAACCACAUAGGUCAAAAAUAUUGUUUAAAACUGAUUUUACCUCUCUUCAAUUUCCGAUAUCUUUGCUUUCCACAUCUCCUGAUUUUUCAAAAGAUUCUCAUUGAGCUGCAUGCAAAAACCAUAAAUUUGAGUAUCAAAAGAAUGAAGGAUUAACUUAAAAUCUAUAUUUAUUUAACCCACUCCACAGAACCAGCAAUUAUGAAACUUUUAUCAUUUAAGCCACUCUUCCAAACCAGCAAGGGAACUUACAUCAUCAAGAAAUUUCUUUUCUGUCACACAUCUAUCCAGUUUGGCUUGCAUCUUCUGCAGCUUUUGAGCAAUAGCCUUCUUAACAGCUUCAGAAAUUAUUUUUUCAGUUUCUUCUUUGGCUUCUUGCAGCAGAGUCUCAUAAUACUACAAAAACCAGUUUAUCAAGCAGUAGAUAUGAUAAAUUCAACUUUGAGCCCAAGAACAAGAAUAGGCUCAGAAUGUAAACUCGUGAAAUUGAUGAAAAUGGAAGAGUGCACUUACUAUUUUUUGGUUUUCAAGUUGGGCGGCAAGGAGUUCAUUGUACUCGUUGACAAUCUAUGAAUGAAUUUGAAAUGAGAAUUUUGCAAGAUGGAGGAAUGUAUUAUCAAUUAAUUAUGAGCAUAUUCUAAAGAAAAGUAACUGAAAUAUUACCGCUUCAACUUUACUGCUUAAAAGAGCAUCACUGGUUCCAGAAUCUACACAAUCACAACUUCCACAAUUAUCUUUACCAUGCAAACAAUGGGAAUUCAACUCAACUAGCUUUCCAUCAGUUUUGGAUUGAAUUAGGCGGUGGACAUAAUUGUCACCAGCAUAAUCCCAAACACGCUGGGUUUCCAACUCAAGAGAAUAGCAGUGUUCUGUUUCCUUCCAAUGUAUUAUAGCAUGUCCUCCUUUAUACCUACAUCAAUCUCUUCAGUAUGGAUAUGAAAAAAAGGAAACCCACCCCUGAAAUAUGGGGGAGAAUGCCUACUCAAAUUGUCAGAAAUAAAAUUGAAACUAUACCUCCCACAGCCCACAAAACCACAUAUAACACACAUCCAGAGGUUCUCAGAAGUUUGGCAUACAAAACAUAUUGAUUUUUCUGGCUGUUGCUGGCAGUAUCGGCACACCUAAACAAAAAGCAGACAAGUUAACCAUUGUCAAAAAAAAAAAGGAAUAUGUUAGUAUCAUUGCUGUAUUUUCAUUGUAAAUUUUUUGAGUGAGGUUCGCUUGCAGUUAAUAUUUGCUUUCAUCUUUUGCGAACUUCUUUCUGCUGUGGAUGUAGUUCAUGUGGUAUUUAUUCUACAGGUCUGCCCCAAUAUGUCUUAGAAAAAUUUAUAAACAUAAUUCUUCUUCCUUUUUUUUUUAAUUUAUAAACAAGAUAUUCUAUAGCCAUAAUGAAUAUAAAAAUAGGGCAAAGAUUUUUUCGACCUUAAGUUGGCAAAGAGAGAGAAUAUAUCAUUAAACACACAACUUGAAUUAUUAACUAAAGUAUGGACAAAUUUCUCUCAAGCAAGGGUAGGCAUAAUAAGAAAGACCUCAUAUUAUAGUCUUCAUAAAUAUCCACUAUUAAACUAGUGCCUAAACUGCAGAAACUAUCACCGCUCCACAUGAAAAAAAAAAUUUUAAAAAAAACAUAAAUUUGGAAUCACUUACUGGACAAGACGAAUCUGUCCAUUUUGAGAUACAAGAGCAAUGGAAAGAAUGAUUGCAAAUAGUUGUGAGAAUUCCACUGGUAUCUUGGUCCAAUCUCUCUGUGUAUCAAACAAAUAUUAGACCACUAUGACACAUUAUAUAGUUUACCUUCUCUCAGAGGCAAACUUUUUUUUUCAAUCAUAAUACAUAUUACAUCCCUCUAUUUGCCGGUCUCAAGUUGUAACAGAAAAUAUAGAAGAUUAUCAACGAAUAAAGACCAUUGACACAUACAUUUGAUCGGAAGACUAUCAUCAACAAAGAACAAUUCAGUGUGUAUGUAAUCAAUUAAGCAAAUAAUUAUUGCACUAAGUAACAAACAAGUCAGAAAGCAGGAUGCCAAGAUAGCUCACAGAGCAUUCCCCUUAGUGAAGAAAAUCUUCUGGUCAUGCUGAAAUUCAACAUUUUUCUCAAAGACGUCAAUGAAGAUGAGAUACAGCAUUUUAUGAUUGUAGUUUUAAUUUGCCCUUCCCAAUCAAGUUUCAACAGUGUUAUAAUUUUGGCUCCCAUACAAUAACGUUUCAAACCGCUCAGUUUCGGAAAUGAUACUUCAAGACAAGAGAAAAACAAUGUUCUAUAAUUGAAUCAAAAGAGCAUACCAAGGCAAACUGGACAUGAAGGCUGCUCAGUUGAGCUUGCAGGAGCAGGCUGCACGUGCUCAAGGGAACCAGUAUAACCAGUAAACUGUACAUAAACCGUGAAAAGCACAUGGCAAACUUCUUCCUGUAUAAAAAAUUAAAACCAAAAACAAUAGAAAGAAAUAGAAAGAUUACUACAUUGAGUAGGAGAAUCUAUAAAAUCUACUCAUAUCACCAUUUUACACAAUUUCUUAGUUUCCAAUGAUUUCUUGAAUCACAAUUCAAUACUAAUACUACAAUUAAUUGAGAUCAAAGCAUACCUCCAAAGAAUUAAAUUGUCUACCAUUAAAAUGCUGAUAGAAUUUGUCUGCAGAAUCCUGACUGUCAAAUCUUAUCAAAACACUAUAUUGAUCGUCCAUCCCAUCGGUCCUAAAUCACCACAUUAUCCAUCAAUUAGAUAAGACAGUCACUUCAUUCCUUGUACAGAACUUAUGGUGUUGCUUCAGACAAAGGCAGAUUCUCAUGAAAUGUACGAUAUCUAAAAUAUCAUGUACAGUUAGAUCAAGCUAAACUUUCAUGUUUGUAUUGUGUGCCACUUAUUUCAUGAAGUACAAUAUACAUAUGUAUCUAUUAGCAAUUAGUCCUUUACUUUUGGAGAUCUAGAGAAUCAGUAAUCAAAUCGCAAUCUGCAGAAUCUAAAAUGUGUUCUUUCUAUGAAUUAUUAAUUUUACAUUUACUAAUCGGAUUCUCAUUCUGAUCUCUUUAACAAUAAUGGAAGCCAGUGUUUGCUCGUAUCUUAUUCCAACCUGCACUUUAAUGAUCAUUUCUUCCACACCAAUAAUUCAUUGGUUCACUACACAAACAUUUUAAUUUUGAUUUAUGAAGCAUAUGGAGAUAAGAAUAUUUCGACGUAUAUAUGAAAUAAUGUUGAAUCAAUUUCAUUUUAAAUAGAGAAGUCCAUCUUGAUAAAAUCAUUUAUAAUAUAUGAAUGAGGAGAUGAAAAAUGAGAGUAUGCUGAUCAUCAAAGAGGAAAAAUAUGUAUCAUGUAAUUUGCAAUCAAACUAUCUUUGUCCCCUAAAGCUGGCAUUCCCUAACACUUUGUGGAAGGUAAACAACUAUCAUACUUAUAAGAACUAUAUUCAAGCAUCGAUAUUUUUUUCCUAGCUUAUAACGAUAUUCCAUUAAUUAUUAAUUUGUAAUGAAAAUUUUGUACCGAACAAUUCACAUCUCCAGUAUAUGUUGAAUAAACGAAGCACAAAACUGACAAAAAUCUGCAUAUGUCAUGUGAUUCGGCACCCCAAGCACACACACGAGGGGUUUCCUUCCAACCUACAAAACAUCAAAACAAUUAUCAGAUUCUCCAUUUUUUAAAACUUAUUAAAUAUCGAAGUUGCUUUUGAGGAUUUGUUUUUUUUUUUUUUCACUUUUUACUUGAAACCAGAAUUGCAACUAUCUCCUCAACUGCUUUACUGAAUCAAAAUGAGGAAAAAGCACCAAGUAUAAUUAAUUCAAAAUUCAAAAUAAAAAUUAGAGAAUUUCUAUUUUGGACAAAAGAAGUGUUGAAAGAGAAUGCGAGUACGGGGAGAUUCUGAUUGGGAGAGGGCGAGGAAACAACGCCGUCAUUACUAUUGUCGCUGCUGCUGCUGCUGGAGAAGAGAUGCAUGACGCCACGUGUCUCUUCGAUUCGAGGGUUUCCGGAAGAGAAAGCGAAGGUCUGAGUCGCUGCGUUGUCAAAAGCUGAUGCGUCGUCAGAGAUCAUCUCCGGCAGCGGCUGCCGGAAUGGUUCGUCGUCUCCCGCGACAACUGCCGUGCUCGAGCUGGAUGACAUGGCUCUUUGAAUUUGUUUGAUUUGAACAAAAUUUGAUGGAGGUAAAGGAAAGAAAUGGCGGUGGGGUUUAUAUAAUGGUGAAAGAAUUAGAAAAAAUAAUUUUUGAAAGGAAUAUAGUAUUAAUAAUGUACAGUGUGGGUAGGGAAGGAUUUUGUGAAUUUAAUUCAAUAUAAUGUUUUACAAAAUAACAAUGGAACACCGUAACACAAAUUCUAUGUAUAGAAAAAUAAUUAAAAAGAGGCUAGAUUAUUUAAAAUCUAGAUAUUACUCUAAAUACUCUAUUAUUCUGCAUACUCAUCUUUAAGUUUUAAAUAAUUAACUUUUAUUAUGUACACUCUUUAAAAUAAUAAAAUUCUUUAAAAUAAUAAAAUUAUCCUCAUUUAAAUAUUUAAUUUAACUAUUUUUAUAGUGCCUGUUUGGUAUGACUUAUCUAAUAACUUUAUGUACUUAUUUAAUCUCAUAAGCUCUUAUCAUAAUUUUUAUUAUUAUUUAGUUUUGUUUUAGUAGAGCUUUUGUAUCUUAAAUAAGUUAUUUUGUCUCUACUAAUAAAAACUCAAAUUUUGAGCUUUUGGGAGUGGGGGUUGAAUUUUUUUUUUUAAAUGUUAAAAUAUUUAAAAUAUCAUCUACUUAUUUAACAAUCUUAUUUUAUUCUUUUCAUAACAUAAUUUAAAAAAAAAAACUUGCCUAUUAAAAUAAUUUCAUAUAAUUUUAAUAAAAACUCUUAUUGAUAAUUAAACAACUAAAAUUUCUUAGGUAAAAGCUCUACUACUAAAAUUUCUACUUAAAUAAGUUCUACUUGAAAAAUUGUACCAAACAGAGCCUUAGUCUACACACCGAUAAAAAUAUUUAAUACAUUCUUAAAUCUACUUUGAGAGGAUAUAAAAUAAAAAUAUUUUUAUACUUAUCCAUAAUAUCAUAUUUUUAUUAGAUCCAUUUUCGCAAUGAUUGAUCACAUAACAAAUGAAUCUAUUAAAAUUGAUCAUACAUAUUCGACAUUAAUCACUUAGGAAUGAAAAUGGGCCGAGUACUGUGCUGGUACUUGUUUGGUGGAGAACAUCCCCACCACUAAUCCUUACUUGUUGUGGGCUUGAACAGGUACGGGAUAAAAUUCCCGGUUAAAAAGUAUGGAUGCUCAUUCCCUUCGGCUAUCCCCUAUGUCCCUUUAUAUAUUUUAACAUCCUGCAUAUAUUUAAAAAAUAGCGAAAAAAGAUAUCUUAACUAUUUAGUUAUAGAUAAACGUGCAAUACAAUAUUCAAAAAUAUUUUCUUAAAAAAUUUAUUUUCAAUUUUAAGCAAAUGUUAAUUAUAAGGUUGAAGUUAUUUGAAUCCAUCUAAAUACUCUCAGCACCCACUUUUUCGAAAUCAAUUUUAUUACCAUAAUACCCAUUUAGUAAUUUACCAAAAAGGACAUGAUAAUAUCAUUAAAUAAAAUAUUUUAGUUACUUUUUACACAAAUCUCUGCCUAGAGCCGACAUGUUUGUCCGUCCCAAACACUAAUUUUUGCAACAUUAAAUGUAAUUUAUCAUCACGGAGAAGCAAAACCAACUUAUCGAGACGAAUUUAAUCAACGAAAUUAAAGAAAAUGCUUGCUAAAAAGUUCACACCUUUGGGGAAAAAAAUGUUUAUUGUGCUUCAAGGAUUUUUUUUCCCCAUUCUUCGCCAACCUCUCAAUGAGUAAUGAUUGCAAUUUGUUGCAGUUUCUAUUAUUUUUAUAUUUUUGUUCAUGAUGUUAUAACUAAAUAAACAACAACAAGAGACAUGAGGUAAAACUCUAUUUGCAAUUCUUAUAUUUUUCGAGUUCUAUGAAUUGGUUUGAUCAUUGGAGAAAAUAAAUGUUGUAUAUGCUUUUACAACGCUCAAUUAACUGCCAAAUUGUUUUCUCACUACUGCAUCUGCAGUCGAGGUCUUGUGAUUUUUUUUUUGAAUUACUUGAGACUAAUGCUCAGAUUACAACUCAUAUUAUAUGAGAUUUACAACUGAUAUUUACAAUCAGACAAUUACUGAGACUAGUUUACAUUAAUUCUUAUAUAUAGCACUGCCUAGAUUUUACCCUCUCAAAUAUUCGAGGGAUGUCUACUCCACUCACAUUUCGAGCACUGUCCAGAUUUUAUCCUCUCAAAUAUUCGAGGGAUGUCUACUCCACUCACAUUUCGAAAGGGAGAAUAUUGCCUUAACGGAUUCCAAACGGAAGUGGAAAAGUAAAACAAAAUGUAACUUUAGGUGAAUUCCAGCUAAAAAAAGAAGAAAUUAUGUAUUUUUAAAAAAAUUGUAAAAAAAAGGUGGACAGUGGAUAUUUCCUCCCCCAAACAAAAUAUGUGAACUGAACUUAGGAUGACACACUAUCGAAAAUCCCCAAAUUUCUGUACAUACACGCAAUCCUAAAAUCCACUUUCAAAAAACAUGAACAUCUAAAUAAUCGACUCCUGCGAGGUCAUCUAUGCAAGUAUUUACAAGAACUUCAUUUCCGGCCAAGCAACUUGUUCUUGACACAUCUAAGGUGCAUCUGAUGAAUUUUGAUGCAGAACUUUCCCCUUUGAGCUGAAGCUGAAAAGUUAAUUUGAAAAGGAAUAUUCAAAUGCUUAAAAGAGUUGAGAUAGAGGGUGCUGCGCCAUAACCUCUCCAAAUAGCAAAUCAGAGAAAAGAUUUGAAGAUAAGCUGAAACCAAGAAAUGUUAAACCCGAGCAGUGCCGGGAUUCGAAACAUGAGACCACCCAUCCUAAAAUUUCCAAUUUCUUCUUCAGCUAUUAGAUUUUUUUUCCUUUCCCCUUGGUCCCAGUACUUGUGGAAGAUUCUACUGACAUUGGCAGUACUGUACCAUCCUUAAUUUCAUUUGAUAUUGAUAAUUGCUGUAACGUCUUCUCUGCUUCAAGAUAAGCCAUCAGAUCCCGAAGCUGCAAGUAGACAAAAAAUAAACCAUUGAAUGAUCA
rnacentral:lncRNA from 1 species